GAUGAAGAACGCAGCGAAAUGCGAUAAGUAAUGCGAAUUGCAGAAUUCCGUGAGUCAUCGAAUCUUUGAACGCACAUUGCGCCCUUUGGCAUUCCGAAGGGCAUGCCUGUUCGAGCGUCAUUUCAACCCUCAAGCCCCCCGGGUUUGGUGUUGGGGAUCGGCUCUGCCUCACGGCGGUGCCGCCCCCGAAAUACAUUGGCGGUCUCGCUGCAGCCUCCAUUGCGUAGUAGCUAACACCUCGCAACUGGAACGCGGCGCGGCCAUGCCGUAAAACCCCAACUUCUGAAUGUUGACCUCGGAUCAGGUAGGAAUACCCGCUGAACUUAAGCAUAUCAAUAAGCGGAGGA
rnacentral:misc_RNA from 1 species